rnacentral:rRNA from 1 species
UUAAUAAUAAGGCAGGUAAAUUUUCCCUGCGGUGCGGCACCGCAACCAACCGGAGGCAAGGUGAGGUGCGUGCGGGGGGAGUAAAGGUCAGGUGGAAGGGUGGGUAGCGGGACGGAUGGAAGAGUUAGAGAGAGCAGGUGCGGAGGCCAGCAAGGGGAAGGAGACGGACGGUGAGUGGCCUGCGGUACCGCCUCCUACCGCUGACGACACAACGCCACCGCCACCGGCUCCGCCGCCCGUAGUAGACGAGCGAGGCGCGCCGGCUGGAGCGGCCCACCUGCGGCGGGACCUUCUGGUCGCCCGGCGGCAGCAGGCUUCGGCGCUGCUUCCUCCUCUGCCGGACCGGCCGCCACCGCGCCCCCUUCGCCUGCGCGCGUAGCGCGAGGCCGAGCCGCCGGUUGUUCUUGUUCCCCUCUACCCGUGCGCCGUCGGGGCGCAGAGGCGAGCUGAUGUCGCCGCCCAGGCCGAGGCCGCGCAGGUGGUCGCCGCCGCUCCUGCCGCGGAAGACGAGCGGCGGCCGCUGCCAGCGGUAGCGGCGGGGUCGAAGAAGGAGGAACCGGUUCCAACCGAGACGGCCUCCUCGUGCCGCGGGCAACUAGGACGGCCACGGCGGCGGGGCGUGGCGGCCGGUCUCCAGCGCCUUCUUCUACUCCGAGGGCCUCCACGUCGUCGACCACGUCAGGGACAGCCGUCUCUUGCAGCCGGAAGCGGUCCUCUACCUCAGCGACGUCUCCCGGACGUCCCGCGACAGGUUCCUCUUGCCGUCUGAUCUCUGUUCCGACCUCGUAAGAAGAAGCAGUUCGUUCGCCUCCUCCCAGCCCAGGCUUCUCCUCCUCGCCGCUGUUUCCUUCGGCGUCGUUCGGCCACCGCCGAAGCACGAGGGACUGGAGUUGAAAGGCCGCGUCCUACAGCGGCUGCGUGGUCGCCGCCGAGUGACUGCCGAGGCCACCGCCCCGCGGACUGCCGGUUGGACUGUUCAAAUAAUUGGCACAUAUCCCUCCUUUCGACCUCCGCGCUAGAGAAUGACACGUACCGCACGAUGGUCCCUUCCUCUCCUCGGGCGGCAGAGUAAUGGAAUCGACUAUUUGAAAAAGAAAAACAAAACAAAUCAAGACUCAAAAUGGCGAGCGAAGAAGAAGAAGAAGAAGACAUGGUUACAUCGAGUUCAAAGUCCGCACGAUGAACCAAGGACAUUUGUUUGUUUGUUUGUGUCGUGCAAUCCAUUUGACACCUACGAGAGAACAACUUAGACGGCUCGCCGUGUGUACUUCAAGGUGAACUUAGGA